GGACGUGUGCUGAGCUUUCCUGCUAUGCCGUGCAAUAAGCUUUGCUGUAGAGAGGAAAUCAUAGCGGAGGACGGGGUACGGAGAAAGUCUUCUGAAGGCUGAACUUCUGCAUACGGCAGUGAUUUACAGAGGUUCUUUGACUCUGUCUGGCCACUCGCAAGCCAGUUGUACUACAGAUGUGAGGUACCCCUCUGGCUGGGGCUUGCAAUGUGAAAAGCUCUCAUGUAGAGAAGAUGAAAGAAAGCAUAAGAAUAACAAUAAAAGCAAGUGCUGGCCUGUGAAGCGCCGGCAAGUGUUGGGCAGGGCCCCGGCUGUCCCGCUCUGCUCUUUGAUGCUACGAGGCUUAGCGGGCACGCGCGUGUCCCGAAGCGUUGCUGCUUCCCUCGCCCCCCGAAGCUGGACAUCGUCUGUGUUAUCUGAGGAGUCUGGGAGAGCUGGCCCCCGAAAGUCUGCCUGAUGGAGUGCACAAGGCUCCAUGUGAAGACCCCCAACGCUUCUGGAAACCAACCAACCGUGUUCUCAACACCUGGGGCACUGCCAGGCCUCAAGCGAGAGCGACGGAGGGAGACCCCAGCUGAGCUGAGGGCUGGCUGGGACGGAAAGGAGAGCUUCAGUUCCCCCUGCGGGACUGUGGCUGCCUCUGAGCAGGAGGGCUGGGCUGGCAGGAUGGGGAUGCUGAUUUGGGUGACCUCAGCCAGCCUGGCCUUGCCCAAGGCCACUUUUGACCAAGGUGUUUGCUUUCUCAGCACCACCAAGGAGCUGUGGAAAGGCCAAGGGUUAGCUAAGGAGGCACUGAAGUGGCACUUUGUGUUUCCACCUGGUGGUUAUUUUGAACUUCAGGCACCAGAGACCUGA
rnacentral:lncRNA from 1 species